rnacentral:rRNA from 1 species
UAUUCCUUUGAAAGAUUAUUAUUUCCCGAUAAAAAAAGAUCUAUUCUUAAUCUAGUAAUUAGCUUUUACUUUCAAUGUUGAACUAUUGAUUGGAAAUUUUAGUAUAGAGGUGAAACGCCUUCAAUUUUUUUGAUAUCUGGAUUUAACCUAAAUGAAUUUAGUUCUUAAAUUAGCCAAAGAGUUAUAAGAUUCUUUGGAAUUAGAAUUAUAGUCACUAUAAUCAAACGGAAUAAUUUCUUCCUUUUUAAUAAUUUAGUCGUAUAUAUUUCUGCUUUUAUCUAUAUAAUAGGUUAAUACUAACCCUAUUCUAUGUUUUUGAUUAGUUAAUAAUGUUUAAAUUAGUAUUUCUGAUUUGAGAAAUCAAAAAAAGGAACUCGGCAAAAAUUACUCCUCAACUGUUUACCAAAAACAUAGCUUGGAGUAAGUUUUGUUCUAAGUGAUACCUGCCCAGUGAAAAGUUUUAACGGCCGCAGUACACUGACUGUGCUAAGGUAGCAUAAUAAAUUGGCUUUUAAUUGAAGUCGGGUAUGAAAGGAGUUAUGGGGAGAAUCUGUCUCUUUAUGAUUUUUAAAAGUUACUAAGGAAGUGAAAAUUCUUCCACAAUUUAUGUAAGACGAGAAGACCCUAAGAAUUUUUAUAAAUUGAAAUUGUGCUAGUUUGUAAGUUUUUGUUGGGGCAACAGAUUUGGACAACCAAAUUUUUAAUAAAUUUUAUAAACCAAAUUAUUUUAAAUCAGAUAAAAUUACCUUAGGGAUAACAGCAUAAUUAAAUUUUUAGAUUGUGACCUCGAUGUUGGACUAAGGACUUAAAUAAAUAGCCUUUAUUUGAGCUGGUUCUGUUCGAACUUACACCUUA